CUGUCUGUCUGUCUGUCUAUAUAUCCAUCUGUAUGGAGACUAGAGGUCAACCUUGGGUCUUUUCUUAGGAGCCAUCCACCUUGUAUUUUGAGGGAAGAACCAGGGACCAAGGACCUCCAGUAUGGCUUCUGGCAUUACUGCAUCCCCAGUGGGUGGAUCACAAGUAUGUUCCUUGCUUCUCACAUGGGAGCUAAGGAUACAAUUCUGGCCGUCUUGUUCCCAUGGCAAGGACUUUACAGACUAGGCCAUCUCCCUACCCCUGACAUUAUAUACUUCCUCUCCGACUGUCUCUUUGGAGAUUGCUUAAGACAUACAUUUCUAUAGAUUAUUUUUUGGGGGGGCUUUAUUAUCCACUAAAAUGUGUGACUGACAAACAUUUCCAAGACCAGCAAUUGACCUUUCAAGGCCUCAUGCUACGAACCCCUCCAAGUUUUACAGAGCACGAUUAUUGGUGCUCUUGUAUGUGAGCCAAUCAAGACGACACAGGGAUGCUACUCUAAUUCCAGCCAAAUCUACAGCUUCUAAGAAGUUCGUGCUUAAUUCUGGGUCUGUGAAACCUUUUGAUUCAUUCUUACUUUUCUCUAUUUUAUUCUCUCUAGCUAUAAUGCUCUUUAAUGAUGACUUAAAAAAAUUCCCUAAAAAAAAGGAAAAUCACCCAUUCUUUAGGAGGUACUUAAUAUUCAGUACCAUAAUAAAAGGUUGCUAUGAAGAAAAUCUUUUGGUAAAGUUGAUUCUUAGAUGUUAGUUUGCCAAAAUAGCCCCAGAAAUAUUGUGGGGGAUUUGACUGCGGCAGCACCUUUGAAGUUUGGUUGCCUGCCUUUAAUUUUGCAGUGAGCCCUAAUCUCAUUAGAUUUCAUACAGUCAGUGUUUGUAUUGGCACAAAAGCUGUCCAAACAAAGCCAAAAUGUUGACACCACCGUCCUCUGAUGGUGUUUAGAACGAAUACAUUAAACACACUUGCGAUAGCAUUGCAUUAAGCUAAGGAAUAAAUUUUGAACUUUGAACUCAGCAGGAUUUAAAAAAAAAAGAAAAGAAAAGAAAAGCUUCACUGGAUAGCUGAGCAAUCGUGUUGUGGUGUAGUAGAUGAAUUCACUGUGCUGUUGCAAAAACCCAAACAGGCAAGCAUUCUCUCGGCUCGCAGUGUGCUGUGUGAUUAAAGAAUCCGGGCAUCAUUAGACCGAGAGUCCAUUGGUGAAGGGCCUUAACGGCAGGUAAAGCAGGCUGGCGAGUUUGCUUUGAAAUCCUCAGGAUAAACUUUGAUUGAAUGCAUUCCUAGCAGGCUGGAAGCAUACCUGCAGGUUAGUGUGGGACACCGAGUCUGGGUCAAACCGCACCCCUGGUUUACAUAUGUAGACACUUUUGUUACAUGCCUGGCCGUCAUCUUCCUACUGAUGGGGUGAAGGCUCACAAUGGACCAGAUCAGUUGGUGAGGAAACUUCUUUGCUGCCUCCCGUGAAAGGGAGGCAACUACGGUUCUAGAACUGAAAAUGAACGCAAUAAUGGUUAGGGAUACUAGUAAUGGUUGGCUAGUGCGUGGCUACUACGUAAAACCAAAGAUUUGCCCCAUAAAAUGUGCACUGUCCUACAUACUUGGAAAGUGACUGUUAGGAAGCCUGUACCUACUGCAAUCCAAAGGGAUAAACGUUGACCAAAACCCACGUGCUGAAGUCUGUGCAUAUUACCUUCAAGAGCUCGUAACCUUCAGCCCGCCGCCUUCACUCUUUUGAGGCUGGUUGCCUGCACUUGGCUUUCAGCUUGCACAGAAGGCUUCCUAAGACAUCUAUUUGGAAUCUGUCACUAGUCAAAAUGGCGCUGAAGGCACCCUCUAAACAGCUCCCUUUUAAAAUGACUGACUGUCUUUUAGGUCUUCGUGUCAAGAGUGGUAGUAUUUUGUUUUUUUACUUUUUCUGAAUAGCUGGCUUGUUUUUAUUUAUGCAUUGUGACCCUGUGACUAAUCAGUAACUUUUCCAUCUUUCUGAUUUUUUUCGGGCUCCAGAGUGCUAUUUCCUAAGGCUAGUAAUUGAAAAGGGCUAUGGGGGUGCAGUCUGUGUAUAUCAUUUCCCUGUGGCAUGAUUUGUCUAUUUUUAUUUUUUCUUCAUUCAGACUCUCCCCAGAAAUCAGCAUCUUUUCAAUUGCAUAAUGUUUUAAAGCUGUUUUUAACCCUUUGCGGGAAGGGAUAGAAAUACACAUGUGCAUACAUUCAUAUAAACACACCUCAAUUCAUGCUUGUUCAUGAAAUGAACUGGGCUGGAGGGACACAUGUUCAUAAAUUCAUACAAAUAUCUCCCAGUGCAUGGCUGUGCAUGGCAUGAAUGAGUGCACGUCAGGCUAGGGAUACACACAUCUAUAAAUUCAUACCCCAACUCAUGCUUGCAUGUGGCACGAAUGAGUGUAUAUUUUCUAAAACCACAGCAGAUGAGAAGCCACAAAUUAGGAGUGUGGUGUUAACUAAAGAAGGGACAAUGAGAAAGUCAGCUGACACUACAAUGAGGUGGCUCCACUGAGGACUUUGGGAGCCAUCAUGGAGAGGAGUGAGCGUGUCAUCACAGCAAGGACAGCUGCCCAAGGCUAUGUCAAACAGGGCCAAAGAACCAUUCUCAUCUCUGUAACCAGAGGUUUGACAACUGACUGCAAGUCUGCAGUAUUUUGGAUAUACUAGCAAUGUGAUGGGAUCGCAAUACUCCAAAGGCUUGUCCAACAGGAUGUAUUUGGCUUAUCAGUUAAAAUGAUGUACCUCCCCCAAAUUCAAUCUAGGUACCAGAACACCAGGUUGGCAAUAAAAACCCUUACUUCUCAGCAAGGCUGGGUUGAUGCCGUUAUAAAAGCAAUGGGCAGAAGCUGCGAUAUCAUUGUGUCUGAAGAGAUGCUGUGACAGGUGUGGUCACCAUGACAGUCAGCUUUGGUCUCACCUGAGCUUAAAAGGCUUAGCACAAAUAUAAAGGUUCUGAGUCUUUUAUCUGGGAAAUGAAUCAUCCAAGGUGGGGUAGAAAGCCCUGAUUGAGAUUUAAUAAUUUGCUACAACAUCUUGACAAUUACAGUUUUGGAAUCUAUUGAGGAUUAAUUUAGGAGAGAUGGGAACAUGUCUCAGUGGAUAGAGUCCUUGUCUAGCUUGUAGAAAGCCCUGGGUCCAGUCCCCAGCACCUCAUAAACCAGGCAUAAUGGUGCAGUCUGUAAUUGUAGCCCUGGGGAGGUAGAGGUAAGACGACCAGAAAGUCAACAUCAGCUUCGGCUAUGUAAUAAUUUGAAAGCUGCCUAGGCUGUAUGAGACUCCAUCUUCAAAACAAAACAGUUGGACGCAUCAAACUCUAGGCUUCUUUUCUUUUUUUUAAAAAAAGGCUUAUUUUAAACAUAACUCAUUUAACUAAAAGUUUCAAAAUAUCAACGUUUCAGAAUAAAACCGUCGUUCUCACGCAGUCCUGUGUGGUGUGUUUGCACUAAACACAUCGCCUUCAGAGAGUAAUCGCAUGCUGUGUUAUAUUAGCCCUUUUUGGUAGGGAUACACACAUUUUAUAGUGCUCAUGACACAUUUUCCUGCUAUACAUAAUGGAUGCUUACUUAAGAUACUCAGGCUGUUGCCAUCAAAGUUUUCUGGCACACCACCUUCCACUCCUCACUGAGAUAUAAACAAAGCCCUUAGCAGACUUGGAUAUCUUCCUAGCAUCCCUGCCAUCCGUUGUAACGGGGACCAGUCAGUGUCUUUCGCCAUGUGGAGGGGGCUUAAUCACAUUCCGUCUUCUCAUUCAGAAUGGACUUUGGAAGUUGUUACUAUGAAUGCCUUUCAAACAUACACACAGAUAGGAGAUAGUAACAGCCAGCUCUCAUGGCAUGGAGACAGAGCUAUCCCAUGCUUUCUCAGCCUUGCCUUCCUGUUCUUUGCUCUCUGGUAAAGGCAUGUCAAAGAGAACGAUGAUUUCUCUUGAAACACUCCAGUGUGCAUUUAUAAAAUGAUUUGAUCCGUGUAACUGUCAUAGUGCUACCAGGAUCAGCGGCUUUAACGUUUAACUGGGUCAUGGUUUAAGUUAACCGGAAAGACUCACCUGCCCCAAUCCAUGCAUUGCUAUGGCUACUCAUCCUUUCAACCUUUGUAACCUAAAUGUUGCCAAUAUGUAACUGCCGGCUACAAUUUAAAACUGAGAUUUAACAGGAUGAAGACAAUCAGAUGUCGUCACACUUGUCCCUUUUGUAGAGCUCAGUGGUGCUGCUGUGCUGCCAGGGUAGGCAUGCGGCGCUCUCUUCUUGUGCUGGCUACAUUUUGUCAGCCGGACACAGCUAGGGUCACCAGGGAAGAGGGAAACUCAGUUUCGAAAAUGCUUUUACAAGAUUGGUUUGUGGGGCAUUUUCUUGAUUGAUGUGGAAGGGCCCAGCUUCCUGUUUGCAAUGCUACUCCUGGUCAGGUGGUCCUAGGUUCUAUAAGAAAUCAAGCCAUGGGGAGCAAGCCUUUGCCUGUCUGCAGGGUCCUGCCUCAGUUUCCUGUUGUGGCUUCCAUCAGUGAUGGUGGGUGAUAUGGAAGUGUAAGACAAAUACCGCAUUUGGUCACAGUGUUUACUAAAGACUCAGAAAGCAAACUGGCAUGUGUCUGCAUGGGAUGUUCAUUGCCUUGGAAUAGCUCCUUCCUCACUGUUAGGUUUUUAGAUACAAAGUGUCUCCUGAAGGCUCCAUGCAUUGAAGGUUGGUGGCCAGUGGGUUGGGAGUUUGGGGAGGCAAUUGAAGCUUGAAGAAGGCACUAACCUCAUCAAUGGCUAGUCCAAGAUAGGCUUGCAAGUUGAUAAUGUUGGGAGGGGGUGGAAACUUCUGGAGAAGAAGCUUCACUGGAAUAAGUGGGUACCUGGGCUGUUAACCUGUUUCUUGUCUUCCUGCAUCUCUGAGCAGCUUUUCUCCACCAGGUCUUCUCUGCCCCAGGUUCUUUCUCUCCACAAGGUACAGGAAGGAAGGCUCACAGCACCGGCUGAGCAAUGAGCCCAGACUAAGUUGCCUAUCUCAGGUAAUUUGCCACUAACUUUUGUGAAGUACCUAGCCACGCCCACUUCUCCUUGUUCACUGAGAAAGUGGCAUCAGCUCUGAGGGAUUCCUUAUUCAUGCACGGGUUUAACAUUGCCAGUUUGUCCUGGGAUUUUUUUUAUUAAAAUGUGGCUAAAGUUCAACUUUAAAAAAUAACUAUUUUGUAAUUUUGCUGCCCGACGCCCAACCCAGAGAUAGGGCUUGUAUUACUGCUGGAUAUCUCCAACAGUCAAGAAAAAUAUAUUUUGUUUUGAUGUGUGUGUGUGUGUGUGUGUGUGUGUGUGUGUGUGUGUGUGUGUAUGUGUGUGUGUAUGUGUGUGUAUGUGUGUAUGUGUGUGUAUGUUUGUAUGUGUGUAUGUAUGUGUGUGUAUGUGUGUGUAUGUGUGUGUAUGUGUGUGUGUGUGUGUGUGUAUGUGUGUGUGUGUAUUGUACAAGUGUUUAGGUACCUGUGGAGGGCAGAAGUAUUCCAGAUUCCCUGGAGCUGGAGUACAGGAGGCUGUGAGCCACUCUAUAAAUGGGUGCUGGGAACUUAAUCCACAUCUACCCAGAGAGCGACAAGAGCUCUAAGUGCUAAGCCCAUCUCUCCAGUUCCUAAAGUUCAACCUAUAUGUCGUGGGUCAGGGAUUUUGUUGGUGCUGCCCUGUACUUAAAUGACAGGAAUGCUCAUUUGCUCUAGCUUUGUAUUUCAUUGAGUAAAUUGAUUUAGUUUUCUCUGUUGCUCUGCAGCCAUUUCCUCAUCAUACAUUCCAUUGUCACGUAGCUUCUGUGAGCAGCCUCCUGUAGGACCCUCAUGGAUGCCAGUGUGUAUAGGGGACCAGUCUUCCCCAGCAUCAGGUAUCAUAGAAAUGCUGGGUUCUUCUAUUUAAUACUUCCCUGCAAUUUGAAUAAUCUUUUCUUUCUUCUUUAUGUGUAGAGUUUGCUAUGCCAGCCAGGCCUUUCUGCAAACGGAGUGAGGUCAAAACCUGACUUAUUGUAUAUGGAAUCAAUAAGGAAGACAUGCCAAGGAGAGCGGGGCAUGCUGGUCACAGGGACAUUGGAAAGGCACAGAGAUACCCCGUUUUGGAAUCAGGCCAUCUGACUCUCAGUGAUUUGACGUAAUGUUCUUAUUUGGAUAGAAAGAAAAAAAAUUAGAGCCGAUGUGAAAAGGAAUUACUCAACCAGCAAACACGAAAGCUCACAGCAACUUUCCCAGUCUGUGAGAGUCUGGCCGCAGGAUGGCACAAGUCACAGACAGUGUUCUGGUGAUGUUUGUGGCAAAGCAGUGGGUUUUAUAGCAUAAAGUGGGAUCUGGAUUCCUCAUCUUUGUAUCUUAUGUUCAAGGUUUGUUUUUUAUUUCCUCAGAGCUCAGAAAUAGGCAUGUGGAAAGUACGGUUUAAAAAAUGUACAAUUAAAUUGGUUCUCUGUA